CCAGUUUGUCUCAUUUCCUCUUCCCACUGGGAGAGUUGUGUGUGUGUGUGUGUUCCUGUGAGUGUAUGCAUCUGCAAUAAGACAAACAUCAAACCGAGCGGAGCUGUGGGAGUCUCUCCAACCGACCCUGCAGAAAGUGACCAGCUGUUUGUGAACAGUUCAGCCUCUACCCCAACAGCAAACACAACAUCUGUUAUGUUUCCCAGAGCAGCAGCCUGUUAUUCCAGCCCUAGCAUUACACCCUCCACUACCCUUGUGUGAAUGUGUACACAUAAUUCCCUGCAACACACUGUGUGUAUAACCUUCACUGGACACGGGACAUCAGGCUCUGGAAGUACCAACAGCCCUGAUCAGGAUAAAGCGGUUACUGAUUUAA